GAAAGUGCCUAAAGACGAGCUCGCGCCUGAUUAGCUAGUUGGUGGGGUAAAGGCCUACCAAGGCGACGAUCAGUAGCUGGUUUGAGAGAAUGAUCAGCCACACUGGAACUGAGACACGGUCCAGACUCCUGCGGGAGGCAGCAGUGGGGAAUUUUCCGCAAUGGGCGAAAGCCUGACGGAGCAAUACCGCGUGAGGGAUUAAGGCCUGUGGGUUGUAAACCUCUUUUCUCAAGGAAGAAUCAAUGACGGUACUUGAGGAAUAAGCAUCGGCUAACUCCGUGCCAGCAGCCGCGGUAAUACGGGGGAUGCAAGCGUUAUCCGGAAUUAUUGGGCGUAAAGCGUCUGUAGGUUGUUUAAUAAGUCUGUUGUUAAAGACUGGGGCUUAACCCCAGGAAAGCAAUAGAAACUGUUAGGCUAGAGUAUGGUAGAGGUAGAGGGAAUUCCUAGUGUAGCGGUGAAAUGCGUAGAUAUUAGGAAGAACACCGGUGGCGAAAGCGCUCUGCUGGGCCAUAACUGACACUCAGAGACGAAAGCUAGGGUAGCAAAUGGGAUUAGAUACCCCAGUAGUCCUAGCCGUAAACGAUGGAUACUAGGUGUUGCGUAACUCGAUUAUGCAGUGUUCUAGCUAACGCGUUAAGUAUCCCGCCUGGGGAGUACACUCGCAAGGGUGAAACUCAAAGGAAUUGACGGGGGCCCGCACAAGCGGUGGAGCAUGUGGUUUAAUUUGAUGCAACGCGAAGAACCUUACCAAGGCUUGACAUGUCACGAAUCUUUUUGAGAAGAAAGAGUGCCCUCGGGAACGUGAACACAGGUGGUGCAUGGCUGUCGUCAGCUCGUGUCGUGAGAUGUUGGGUUAAGUCCCGCAACGAGCGCAACCCUUGUCUUUAGUUACCAUCAUUUAGUUGGGGACUCUAGAGAGACUGCCGGUGACAAACCGGAGGAAGGUGAGGACGACGUCAAGUCAGCAUGCCCCUUAUGCCUUGGGCUACACACGUGCUACAAUGGCUAAGACAAAGAGCAGCAAGCUUGUGAAAGUUAGCAAAUCUCGUAAACUU
rnacentral:rRNA from 1 species